ensembl:lncRNA
GUGGGGGAGGGGAGAAUGAUGAUGACUCUGAGUCUGGAAUUUCCCCGCAGUCUCAUUUUUAUAUAAGAAGUUGUUGAAAUAAACCCGCCUUGGGGGGAAGAUAACGAAUCAAACUGACUGACAACUGACUGAGUGUUUAUGCUGCUCUACUGACCUCUCUCCACACUGCUCUCGCUCUCUGAACAGACUUUUCAGCUGUAACACAGAAAGGAGACACAAACAAGCACAAACAGGAAGUAAAUACUAUAACACUUGUUCUGAUGAAGUGUUUAGGAGUGUUACUAUGCACACGGUGCAGCACCUGCUCGGUGACCAGCCUCCUCUGUUGGUUCGGAUCUACAAGGUCUGUACCCGCGGGUUUCUGUUUUUUAGUCUCUAAUGGAGAUUCUUUCUCUGUUUUGCCCUACGGAAUGAAAUAUGGAUGAAUAAACACAUUAACACACACGUGCAGACAAACAUCAGUCAGUACCUGCUGGGGAGGUUCAAGAUCCUGCAGGUCUCGUUCCCGCUCAAGCGUUUCUGCUCGCCUUCUGCUUUCUGGAGCCAAAACAUAAAAACCAAAAGCUGCUCCAGCCUCUGGACCUCACCGCUCUGUUGUGACUCCUGCACAAAAAAAAUCAUAUCUCUGUUAUGGCAUCAGUCAUCCAAGAGGACACAGAUCUCUGGCAGGUUUGCAGGUCCCACCUGAUGGCGAGCAGACCGCAGCUCCUGUAGCUGUUCCUCCAGCUCAGUGUCUCUGAUCCUCAGCAUGUCCCUCACCUUCAGCAGCUCCGCCUUCACCUGCACCAACUCUCCAUCCACGACUUCAAGAGACACCUUGGACGUGACAUUUUUAACGUUGACAUUGUGACCAAACAGCUCUUUAAAUGCAUAUUAUAUAUUUAUUCAUGAGGGACUUUUUGACUACAUACAGAGCUACCCAUGAGUCUCUCCUGCACUUGGCUUGGGUCCCUCUCAGGCUCUAUCUGUUGUGAAAUUUCAGGCUCUCGCUGUAAGACAACGUAAAGAGACAAUAAUAUACAACACAGUAACACUACACUUGACAAAUGGUCACAUUAGACCAAUGAAAGGAAACAAAAGUUACGUUGUCAUUCACUCGUUGUUGACUCUUGAGCUCAUCGAGUUCUGCUUGCGUCGAGCAUAACGUCAUCGCCACAUCCAGCCACCUCUCAUUCCAGUGAGCAGCCAGUUUCCUCAACUCCUCCUUUUCCUGCUCAAACCCCGCCCUCAUUUGCUGUUGCUCCUCCUCUUUAUGCUUAUACCCCGCCUCCGAGAUUUGGACUUUUUUUUCCAGGUCUUGACAUUUUAAUUGCAGCGUCUGAUUUUCUUGUUCUAGAUUGUCCUGCCGUUCUCUGUAUAUAUGGAAUUAAUAACCUGGAUCAGAGCCAAAAAUAAUCUGCACAAUCAAUAUUAAUAAUCAUUUCCAGGCAACACUGAAGUUCGACCUGUGCUGGCAGCAUCUCUCUCCCAGCUCUAUCAUCUUCUCAUGAAGUCCAUCAUCAAAUGUUUUCCUCAGUUCCUCUUUCUCUCCUAUCAGCUGCAAGCGCUCAGUCUCCAGUGCCGCAAUCUGAUUGGUUUGGAUCAGUUUCUCCGCCUCCAGCUCGUGUAGCUGGUUAAGAGUCACCUGUAGUCGCUCUGUAGCUUUGGUCAGAUCAGAUGACAGCUUUUCGUUCAACUGAAAUUCCAAAGUAUUCAGAAAAAGGUUGUUCAGAACAAUUCAGAACAAACUAAAAAAAUAAAAGGGUUUUAUUGAAAGCCAAUCAAAUAACUUUUUUUUUUUAAAUAUAAUUAUAUAAUAUUUAUAAUAUUAAUGUUAUUAUUUUCUAAUGCUAUGACUUUAAACAGUCUUUAAAAUAAUAUAAUUUCACCUGAUAAUAUAAUAUAAUAUAAUAUAAUAUA